GGACUUGAUGCCAUUCAUUUUCUCUCCCCCAAAAGAUUAUUCUAACCAUUGUAUGGAUUGAAUUAUGUCUCCCAAAAAAGAAAUGCUAGAGUCCUAACCCAUGGUACCUUAAUAUGUGACCUUAUUUGGAGAUAAGGUCUUUACACAAGUGAUCAAGUUAUAAUGAGUCACUAGGUGGGCCUUAAUCUAAUGUGAAUGGUGUCUUUAUAAAAUGGGGAGAUUUGGAACCAGACAUUCAUAGAAGAUGGUGUGGAGAGACACAGGGAGAGAUGCUCAUCUAUAGGCAAGGAGAGAAGACCUCAGAAGGAGCCAACCUCAGUGACAUCUUGACUUUGGACUACUAGCUCCCAUAGCUACAAAACGAUAAAUUGCUGUUGUUUAACCCACCUUGUUUGUGACGUUGUGUUACAGCAGCCCUAGCAAACUAAAACAAUCAUUUAUUCCAUCCCAGUUUAUUAAUCCAGCUCUUUGUGCCAUAGCCUCUGAGCACCUUUCCACGGAAGAAAAUCUUAGCUUUAGGAGAAUGUCAGGUUCAUUUAUGCUAAACAGACAAUAAUUUUCUAACCUCCUAAUAGUAAGUAUUAAGAGAUUCUAAAACAUAACUGUUGCUUUUUUUCUCCCCUUAUUUCUGAAUUUAGAAAAAAUAAUCUCAUUCGAAAUGUCGUUUUCAUAUAUGUUAGCAAGCCAAUUAAAAUAUAGUCUUCUGGGUUUUGCCUGGAUUGUCGUAAUAAAGUUAAUUAUGAACCCAACACCCUGACUUUCUAAGUUUCCUCUUCUCAAAUCAAGCUGGCAGUUCUGUGAGUGUAAAAGCACCGAAUGGUCAUUACCAGUGUGUGAUGAAAUCAUCGAUGAAGAGUUGACAGUUAGUAAGGCAGAGUAAUGGUACUCAGAUAUUUUGUUUUCUCCUUGUGACAUGAGCAAGAUCAUAAUUACAGCAUAUUUCAAAUCAUUGCUUACAGAGACAUGACUCACUCCAUUAUACAGUACUUCGUUGGGGCCCCAGCCAUGGAUAGAGACAAAUAUCUUCCCGUCCAUGGUUUUCUCCGAGACAGUGGGUCUCCAGCGUCAGAGGCUACAGUGACUCCAAUCGCAAUCAUCCACCUGCAUCCAGCAACUCCUUAGACAUUAGAGUUCCCCAAAGUGUCUUCCUUCUCUUCUUGUCUUUCCAUUUGUUCCUGCUGGGCAAUUACCACCCAUUCCCUGGGCUCCAACAGAUAUUGAUGACUCCCACAACUGCAUCUCCUCUUCCCAACUGCCUCCUCAACUCCAGACCUAUCUCACGAUUACAAAAAACAUUACUGACU